rnacentral:lncRNA from 1 species
UCCCAUUUUCCUUUCAUGAAAAAUCUGCAGCCCAAAUUAAUAUAAGGCAGCCCAUUUAAUAAGCAUGCAGAGGCCCGGACUUCAAAUAAAAAUCGCAGCCCAAUCUCAUUAAAAGAAAAGCCCAACACUUGAGCCCAACUAAAACCUAUCUACCCUUCUUCUUCCUCCUUGACACAGCCGCUCCCGCCUCUUUCUUCCCAUCUCCCUCUCUGCUCACUCACUCUCUUCGCACACACACACGGCUGCACAGAAGGCGUCGCCGCCGUGGCUGCGCUUCCAGCGAGGGCGUCCCUCCGGCGCCACCACUAACGUUCCUCUCUCGCCUCCGACAGAACACACACACACGCUCGACAUUCACGACGCCGCGGUUCUUCCUCCGGCGAAGAGUGUCGGCCUCCGAGCUCCCUUGGCCCUAAAUCGGACAGCGAUGACGGGAUUUUCGCCAACCGCCUCUACAGCUUCCUUCCCCGACAAAGGCUGACACCCCCACAUCUUACUCUUUGUCCUUGGCUGAACUGCAACGGCGGAGCCGCUGUGCGCUGGCCUCCCUCAUUCUCUCGACUCUCUCUCUUUCUCUCAAGCUCUGCCGGCGACUGCUGGUGGCUUCAUGCCACCGCCAUCCGCCGACUAACUCCUAGGUACGAUUCCCCCUUCUCUCGCUGGCUCUCCCUUCAGAACCCGCCGGAGCAACGGCGAUGAGCCGCCUCACAGCCCUCGAUUCUCUUCUCCUCCAAUCUCGACUCACACCAACAACACCCCAGGCUCAACCCAAACACAAAGUUCAAGAUUCCUCUUUUAUUCAUUUUCUAUUCUCCUUAUACAUUCAUAAUUCUUGUUUGUAAAACAUUUUCAUGCUCAUCUUAUUCGACCAUGUCAUACCAGAUAUUGAAAUAUAAUAUUCUUUGUGUUUUGCUGCUUAUUAGCAUAAAACAAAUAUGAUGCAUAGUAAAGUAUUGCAAAUACAUAUAUAAUGCAGAGGUGAAAUUAUGCAUGCCGAUUUGCUUAGCUUAAUUAAAACUAGAAGAAUUUGUUGAACACAAAAGUUAGAAGUAAGACCUUUUGUGAGGAUUCUGCUAAAUUGAUUUCUUGAAUGAAUUUAGCUACUGAAAUCCUUGGAGAUCUUUCUUGCGAGAGAAGAGCAUUGAAUUAAAGGGAUUGUGAUUCAUGAAAAUG